rnacentral:rRNA from 1 species
UACGUAGGGUCCGAGCGUUGUCCGGAAUUACUGGGCGUAAAGGGUGCGUAGGUGGUUUCUUAAGUCAGAGGUGAAAGGCUACGGCUCAACCGUAGUAAGCCUUUGAAACUGGGAGACUUGAGUGUGGCAGAGGGGGGUGGAAUUCCACGUGUAGCAGUGAAAUGCGUAGAUAUGUGGAGGAACACCGAUGGCGAAGGCAGCCCCCUGGGCUAACACUGACGCUCAUGCACGAAAGCGUGGGGAGCAAACAGG